rnacentral:RNase_P_RNA from 1 species
UCAGCUGGCCGGAUGACUGCUUGUCUCUUGUUAUAAGAGAUUAAGAGGAAAGUCCGGGCUCCAGGGAAACAGGAUGCCGGGGAAAUCCCGGCGAGGGAGGUUUUCAUGCUUGCAUGAAGCUGAACCUUAGGGAAAGUGCCGCAGAAAGGAUACCGCCUGGCGAUGCCAGGUAAGGGUGAAAGGGUGCGGUAAGAGCGCACCGCGCAUCUUGUAAAAGAUGCGGCAGGGUAAACCCCAUCCGGAGCAAAACCAAAUAGGGAUGUCUCGAGCAAAUUCUUUGAAUUUGUUUGGCGUGUGUUUCCUCACUUCAUCCGGGUUGGUUGCUUGAGCUUGAUGGUAACAUUAAGUCUAGAUGAAUGGUCAUCAGUGUGCGUUUUUUACGCAUGCUACAGAACCCGGCUUAUAGGCCAGCUGGCAUA